UACGGAAGGCAGCAGUGGGGAAUAUUGGACAAUGGGGCAACCCUGAUCCAGCCAUGCCGCGUGUGUGAAGAAGGCCUUUUGGUUGUAAAGCACUUUAAGCAGUGAAGAAGACUCUAUGGUUAAUACCCAUAGACGAUGACAUUAGCUGCAGAAUAAGCACCGGCUAACUCUGUGCCAGCAGCCGCGGUAAUACAGAGGGUGCAAGCGUUAAUCGGAAUUACUGGGCGUAAAGCGAGCGUAGGUGGCUUAAUAAGUCAGAUGUGAAAUCCCCGGGCUUAACCUGGGAACUGCAUCUGAUACUGUUGGGCUAGAGUAGGUGAGAGGGAGGUAGAAUUUUCAGGUGUAGCGGUGAAAUGCGUAGAGAUCUGAAGGAAUACCGAUGGCGAAGGGCAGCCUCCUGGGCAUCAUACUGACACUGAGGUUCGGAAAGGCGGUGGGUAAGGCAAACGGAGGAUUAAGGAAUAACC
rnacentral:rRNA from 1 species